GUGCCCACUUUGGCAGCACACAUGUUAAAAUUGGAAUAAUACAGAGAAGAUUAGCAUGGCCCCUGUGCAAGGAUGAUAUGCAAAUUCGUGAAACAUUCCAUAUUAAA
ensembl:snRNA U6 U6 spliceosomal RNA